rnacentral:rRNA from 1 species
GAUGAACGCUGGCGGCGUGCCUAAUACAUGCAAGUCGAGCGAACAGACGAGGAGCUUGCUCCUCUGACGUUAGCGGCGGACGGGUGAGUAACACGUGGAUAACCUACCUAUAAGACUGGGAUAAUUUCGGGAAACCGGAGCUAAUACCGGAUAAUAUAUUGAACCGCAUGGUUCAAUAGUGAAAGACGGCUUUGCUGUCACUUAUAGCUGGAUCCGCGCCGCAUUAGCUAGUUGGUCAGGUAACGGCUUACCAAGGCAACGAUGCGUAGCCGACCUGAAAGGGGGGUCGGCCGCACUGGAGCUGAGACGCGGUCCAGACUCCUACGGGAGGCAGCAGUAGGGAAUCUUACGCAAUGGGCGAAAGCCUGACGGAGCAACGCCGAGUGAGUGAUGAAGGUCUCCGGAGCGUAAAAAUCUGUUAUUAGGGAAGAACAAAUGUGUACGUAACUGUGCACGGCUUGACGGUACCGAAUCAGAAAGCCACGGCUAACUACGUG